rnacentral:rRNA from 1 species
UACGUAGGGUGCAAGCGUUGUCCGGAAUUAUUGGGCGUAAAGAGCUCGUAGGCGGUUUGUCGCGUCUGCUGUGAAAACUCGGGGCUUAACUCCGGGCCUGCAGUGGGUACGGGCAGACUAGAGUGCGGUAGGGGAGACUGGAAUUCCUGGUGUAGCGGUGAAAUGCGCAGAUAUCAGGAGGAACACCGGUGGCGAAGGCGGGUCUCUGGGCCGUAACUGACGCCGAGGAGCGAAAGCGUGGGGAGCGAACAGG